AUUAUAUAAAUAAUGGUAUGUAAAGAAAGCCCCUUUUGUCCUGAAAAAAAACAAUAUAUAAUUUUAUGGGAACAGUAAAUGAGAGAGCGGAAAAUUCCAGCCAAACACAAACACCACACAAGUGUAAAAAUAUGCCUGGUCGCAAAUGUACAACAUCACAAAAACAGUCCAGUCCUUAAGGGGUUAAACCAUACAUGUAUAAAAACAUUAGCAGGUGUUCAAAAGGCCCUGUCUAUGACAUCACUUGCUGCUGCAGCCUGACACAGGUCAGAGUAUUUUGGUGGUUGCUAUCUUCAAACGGUCGUAUCUUAAAAACUAUAACUCCUACAGCGAAGAGCUUUAUAUUGUGAGAAUCACAAG